rnacentral:lncRNA from 1 species
UGUGGCUGCCCGAGGAGGAGGAAGGGGAAGAAAGCAGUAGUUUUAGCAUUUCUUGAUUUGUGCAGCUGAUCUCCUUCCUAGAGGAAAAUUGGGUGAGCAGAGAAAAGAACAAAAGGCUGAGGAGGGUUGGCGUCCAAGGGGAGCUCCCAGCCCCUCUCCACCCCUCCCUCUCCUACUCUAUCCCACAGAGGAAGGGAAUGGAGUUGGGGUCUGAAUCGUCAGUGUUGAUUAAGGAGCAGGGAAUGUAGGAUUAAAAAAAUAAUGUAGUGAGGAGUUCCAGGCAAGGGAGGGUGGGGCAGGGGAUUGUUAGGGCAGUGAAACUACUCUGUAUGAUACUACAGUGGUGGAUCCAUGUCAUCAUACAUGUGUCAGAACCUAUGGAAUGUGCAAUGCUAACAGUGAAUGCUAAUGUAAACCAUGGACUUCAAUUAACAAUAUCAUUAUAUCAAGAUUGGCUCAUCAGUUGUAACUAAUGUACUAUACUAUGUUAAUAACGGGCAACUUGGUGGUGGUGAGGGAGUAUGUGGGAGCUCUGUGUAUUUUCUGCUCAAUUUUUCUACAAACCUAACACUGAUCCCAAAACCGAAGUCUAUUAGUUUAAAAAUAAUAAAAUAGACAUAUAUUGGGUGUCUAGCUAUAGAUUUCAGUUUUAUUAUAACUGAAACAACAUUCUUGCUUCUCACUGCCUGUUAUGACUCUUUUUCCACCAGGCCUCUCCUAAGCAACAGGAUGGAAAGAUAAAGGUAAUAUUGACUGUGAGCUAAGAAGAAAGACCAAAAGAGGCCACUUGGCCUGCUGUGACUUUGGACUCAAGGCCACUGUGUACAGUUGCCCAGGUGGUGCACUGCACAAGGACACCACAUCAAAGAGGAUACAUUCUCCUUAUAGUCAUUAGAGCUUUGUAUAUUGAUUAUGCAAAUUCCAAUAAGCGCUUUUUUCUAAUUUGCUCAAAGGCUAGUGGUGACCCUGUCUAGGCCCUAAGCCUUCUGAAGGGUGGGAGACCUCCAAGGGGCCCAGCCUUGCUUACCUAGAGGCAGUUUUGAGUUUGAGGGUGAAACCCCUGCACAUUUUCCACUUUCCAGAACCUUGAUGUGUGGCAGGUUAUGACAAGACCUGUGCAUGGGAAGCCCAGAAAGGUACAUAAAUGGAAAACUGUGAAACCUUGUCACCCAGGUGCAGAAAAGAAGAGAUUGGCAAGAACUUGGGCUGGCUCAGACACAAGUUCAGGCAUCAGAACCCACACAUGGUUCUGGUUUCUAGAAGAACAGGCAUGGUUUCUAGAAGGGCAGAUUAAUGUCGUGUAUGAGCGUGUCAGUGGGUUCAGGAUGCUGAUGCCUGGGGGUAGAAACGGUGGAGGGCCUGCAGCUCUUCUCCUCCAUCCAAACUGCCAAGACUGCUGAACUUUGGGCGUGCCCACAUGAGACACAAGGGUGAGCUGCAUCUGCCCUUCCGCCCCCAUCUUUACACUGCUGAUUCACUGCUUUGAGAACAAGCCCACAUAAGACCAAGUAUGCCCUGAACCUACGGGGGCCUGUCUUCCCAUCUGCACAUGGCUCUGGGUGUGGCCUUGCAUGGGGGAGGCCUGGGGAUUUGGCUGUCGUGGGACGUGCAGGUGGACAACUCUCUAUGUAAACCUCCGUGAGUCCACUACCAUGGCUUACAGUGAUGUUUUAUGUUAAAGGAUUUUAUGGGGAGAUAACAACAAUAACAUUUUGGAAACAGGAAAGCAAACAAAUGAGGAAUAUUUGACUGAAAGCCAAGUCUCGAGCUUGAAUUGCGGAAGGCCAGAACCACUGUUUGACACCACAGCCUCCUCAAACCACAGACUUGGGGCUGGGUGCCGUGGCUCAAACCUGUAAUCCCAGCACUUUGGGAGGCUGAGACGGGUGGAUCACCUGAGGUCAGGAGUUCGAGACCAGCCUGGCCAACAUGGUGAAACCCCACCUGUACUAAAAAUACAAAAAAAAUAGCCAGGUGUGGUAGUGGGUGCCUAUAAUCCCAGCUACUUGGGAGGCUGAGGCAGAAGAAUUGCUUGAGCCGGGAAGACAGAGGUUGAAGUGAGCCGAGAUCAUUGCAACCAGCCAAGGUUUCUUUGCCUACAUCAGCCUCACACUGGAAUGCAAGGAAAGAAUUAUAUCCUUUUCCCACUGCUGUGGUAUUUCAGCUGAAAUCAGCCUCAUCAAAGCAGCAACUAUGUACCAAGGGGUUGACAAAUAGAGGAAAUUUGUGAAGCUGGGCUUCUUGGCAAGUGUUUUGUCCUUGGAAAUUCUGUUCCUCUCAGCCUUCUGGGGGCUCGCUCUGUCACCCAGGUCGGAGUGUAAUGGUGUGAUCACAGCUCACUGCAGCCUCAACCUUCUGGGCUCAAGUGAUCCUUAUGCCUCAGCCUCCUGAGCAACUGGGACUACAGGCAUGUGCCACCAUGCCCAGGUAAUUUAUUGUUUUUUUGUCUGUUUGUUUGUUUGCUUGUAGAGACAGUGUCUUCCUAUGUUGCUCAGGCUGGUCUCAAACUCCUAAACUUGAGCGAUCUUCCCAUCUUGACCUCACAAAGUGCUGGGAUUACAGAUGUGAGCUGCUACACCCGGUCUGAACUUGGAAUUAAUUCCGUACUCUUAUCGCUGAAUAAAGGCAUUGAAAGUUAUGGUUACAAGUACAAAUAACUGUCUAGAAAGGGGGCAAACACUUCAUUACUAACCAUUCACAUCAUGGUUUAUUUAACAGGACUCAAAGGAGAUAGGAGAUUCCAGGAUAAAGAAUAUAUAUUAAUCACACUUUAGAGUACAGUGAAGACUUUCACAAGCAUUAUCUUGAUCCUUAGAGCAAUGCAGAGGGCCUUAUGAUUAUCACUCUCUUACAGGUAAGGGAAUCAGGACCCACAGAGGUUCAGUGACUUGCCCAAGAAUACACUGGUAGCUGUCGGCAGAGCUGGGACUUGAAUCCUAGGCCCCUGACCUCCAGUCCGAUGUCCUUUCCUAGGUGUGGAUGGUGGUGUGGGAGCUGUGAAGGUCCAGGGUUAUGUGUGGUGGGGAAGGGUGUCCAGAGGACCUGAGAGGACAAGCUGGGGAACUGCUUUGGGCCAACCCCACCUGCUGGGUUGAAGUCACAGUCAGGUGCCCCAAAUCUCACCUGUUGUCAAGGCCUCUUCCCACAGCUCUGGGUGAGAUGGAAAAAGAGGAAAAGAAAAUAGGUGGCAGUGAACUCCAGGCCAUCAGUCCACCCCCAAACCCAACCUUCCAUCCUGGUUCCUGGCUCCACUGGAGGGGCUUGUCCUGGAGAGCCAGCCCCACAGUCACUACGAGCUCAAGGUUUCCCUAUCAGAAGCAAGACUGCAGGGAGGAAGGCUAAAGUGUUCUCUGAAGCUGGACUCCUUUGGGAAUUCAGAGCUUUCCUGGCUCACCCCCCACGCACAGUGCACACGCACUUAGCAGUUUGUACACCAUGACCAGAGAUGCACAGAUCCAAGGCUGCCCAUCUAAGAACCUCAGCUGGAAAACCCAGGACCCAGAAUGAGUCUGGGUGACCACGCCUCACCCCUUUCCCUCAGACCUCUCUGGGAAGAACAAGAGACUGAGCAAGGCCACCCCCUGUCCUACCCCCAACUCAGAUCACGUCUCUAGUAUACAAUGUUAAAAUAAAUCACUGUUAAAAAAAUUACUGGGAGGAGGUUGGAUGCGGCAGCUCACGCCUGUAAUCCCAGCACUUUGGGAGGCCAAGGUGGGCAGAUCACCUGAGGUCUGGAGUUCGAGACCAGCCUGGCCAACGUGGUGAAACCCCGUCUCCACUAAAAAUACAAAAAUUAGCCAGGUGUAGUGGCAGCUGCCUGUAAUCUCAGCUACUCAGGAGGUUGAGGUAGGAGAAUCACUUGAACCAGGGAGGCAGAGAUUG